GACCCAGGUGAUCAGACUUCGGAAUCUCGGUGAUGGUUUCCCCAGGCGCCAUGUCGAGCGACUACACCACGGGGAACCUCCUACGACUCGGUCUGGCCGCCCUCACGGUGGUUAUUAUGGCAGCCUUCCUGUUUGAAGCCUGGCACAGCCAGAAGGCAUCCACAAGUGGAUCCAGCCUCUCCGGCCCUCACUGGAAGCCUGGAGCAGGAGCUUUGGAGCAGCAUGGUUGCUGGGACCCAGACUACUCAGAGCAGUGCGGCCGGGACACAGCUAGAAGUGGCGCAAAAGCCCCUCCCUGCCUCCCUGGGAACUAGGGUUAAGAAGGAGAGCUCCAGCCUGACAUUUCCCUGGGCAAGCUGCUCCGCCUCCUCUGCUCACAGCCUCUCUUCCUUCUCUGUCCAGCCUUCUUUCUAGAAGUCACUGCCUGCCCACCCUCCUCCUUCCCUCUCCCCCUUCCCCAACCUCUUCCCCUCCUCGUCCUCCUCCUCUCCUUUCCCUCCCCUUUCUCCCCCUCCCUUUUCCUGAUAAAUUCGAGUCCUUUAAACACCAAAGUCUACCAUGGGGACUCCUUAUGAUCUCAGUGUGGGCACAAAUGAUAUUUUAGGUGGGCUAUUUCUUUACCAGGUGGGGCUAGCUUAUUCAUUACAGGAGCAUUUAGAAACUCUAAAUUGCUAAAUUUUCCUUCCCAUUAAGUACCAGUUAAAGCCCUAAUCAUUGUGGAACAAGAAAAAAAGCAGCUGCUGUCACACCUUUCAAACGUCCCUGGAUGGGGUGGGGAGGAAUGGGAAGUCGGGGUCAUGCUCCCCCUGGUUUAGAACAUGUGUCCAGAGGCCAGCAGAAAUGAUAUUCUCCCUCCUCUGCCCUUCACUAAACUCAGGUCUGUUGUCGUCUACCCACAGGUCCCGGAGCUCCCCAGGGGAAUGAUGAAUUUUGGAUUGAGUUGGACCAGCUGAUCCUCAAGGCUGCAUCCCCCGCUCUACUGGGAUCCACUCCAGGACAGCAGGAUGGCUUUCUUCUUCCUGUACUCCUCGCCUGGAACAGACGGCAGGAGUGGGGAGAAACACUCAGUACAGUUGUGAUGACUUGAAUAAAUACUUAAAUCUUCAGAGUCAGGCUGGGUGGCAGGUCCACUCUCAGCUGCAGGGGACUCUUCCUCCAUUGGAAAGUAGAGGAAACAUGGCUUCCUGUAUAGUAUUUAUUAUUGCUUCCCUUCCAUUCUCUAUUUUGUGCUUCUGGGCCAGCAUUUAGUCAAAUAUUGGAAUAUAUACUUAUAAUACACGUCUUUUAAAUUUUA